rnacentral:rRNA from 1 species
UACGUAGGGGGCAAGCGUUGUCCGGAUUUAUUGGGCGUAAAGAGCGUGUAGGCGGUUAGGUAGGUCCGUUGUGAAAACUCGAGGCUCAACCUCGAGACGCCGAUGGAAACCAUCUGACUAGAGUCCGGAAGAGGAGAGUGGAAUUCCUGGUGUAGCGGUGAAAUGCGCAGAUAUCAGGAAGAACACCCGUGGCUAAGGCGGCUCUCUAGUACGUGACUGACGCUGAGACGCGAAAGCCAGGGGAGCAAACGGG